GGGGGUGGGGAGGGCCGGGCGGUGCGGCCCGGGCUGCGGGCAGCGCAACUUCCGCGGGCGGCGGGGGCGGGAGGCGCUGCCCGGCCGCGGCCUCCGCGCAGCGCGGAGCUUCACCCACCUCAAACCCCCUCUUCGUGCGCUCUUUUAAGCUCGGCGGGCCCGGGCAGGAUGUUUAUACUGCGCAAUGUAAACACGGGCUCGGGGGUGCUUUAAUAAAAAGAAAUCGGCGAAAACUCCCGCUGCCGCUCGAAAUGCCCUUUUCUGCCUGCGCCGCCGCGCCGGGGAUGAGAGCAGGCGUCGGACCCCUCGCCUGCUCCGAGGCUGCUCUAGGGAUGAGGGACAUUUAUUUCAUCCAAUAAGACUAUCCAUCACAGCACACUGGAACCGACCUACGAUCUGAGGAUAUUCUUAGAUAUGCAGCAUGUCAGGAAACGGCUAGCAGCCCUGCAUGAUGCAAAUAUUUGGACGACUGAGAGGUUUCUGGCCAGCAGCACCAAUGACUGUCAUGGCCAAGCCACUAAUUCGGAGAUGUCAAUGGACAGGGGCUUUAAUCAUGCGUGAGCUGUGUGCGUGCAGGAGGGAGGACGUCCACGCUGCAGGACUGAGCUGUGGGUUGGAGGCAGGACAACCCUCAUCUCAAGGGUGAGUGCUUAAGGAGUGUAGGCAAGGCCAGCUUUUGGAGCAAGUAACUGAGGUGACCCUCUCCAGCCCCGGGCAAUCGAGAUAGACUGCCAUGCAAAUCAGGCUGCGUGCGCACAAAAUAUCCCAAACCUCACCUUUAGUGAGGUUUUCCCCUCUUCUUCUCUAGGGUGUACUGAUUGCUGGGUCAUCUCUAGGGCUUUGCUGUUGUAGAAACCCCCAGUAUCACUGUACUAGAGAGACUCACAUUUUCCACUUCUCUGAAUUUGCCACCAGACCAAGAUUUCCUCAUCCCAGGCGUCCCAGCGAGGAGCAGCAGGUCCUAGCAAGGUACUUUAUGGUUAUGGAGCAUCAUGUGCAAGAUCAGCCAGGCCAGUUUUAGUAAGACCAAUGGUUCUACAACGCCAUGGGGUGGGCUGCCUGUGCACCCAUGUGGAGGUGUGAGCCUCCCACACACCCUCCCACCCCAGGGUGAAGGUACCUGCACCAUCCCCUCAUUUGCCUGGGGAUUCUGCCCCUAAACGCAGCCCCAUCAUGCACAGGGAUGUGGCAGCACAAACCCCAUCCUGGCUACCAGGCCAAUGGCCACCCAACCCCACCAGCUUCUCUGGAUGGACCAGGAGACAUGGACCUGCUCCAUCUCAGGAACCACCGUAGAACAGGUUUCUCACUAGGCUAAUUACUGCUAAUUGUGCCACUUUGCUAUCUCACCAGCCUUGCCCUGAACAGGGCUGAUAGGGUAUCAGUGAGAUAAAGAGCACUCAGCACAGGUAACUGGUGAAUGUGGGACCUGCGGUGGGGUGAGCUGCCUUCUGGAGGGGUUAUCUCCUGCUGAGAGCCUGAGGCACCGGCCUCCUGAAGGGGGACACGGUGGUCCUAAGGGUAAGCGGAGGGAAGCUGCCAUCGGCACACUCCUCAAAGCUUUUUAGGAGGUGCUAUAAGGGAUUUUGGUGACUCAGAAUUUGCAAACACUGGGAAAGCAAGCUGGCAUUCAUUUUAUAGUAAUUCUUUUAAAUUUACUUAACAUGCAGUUUGUUCUUUUGAGUGGUUUUUGCUGUUGUUAAUUUAACACUCUAGAAAUGAAGGUUUCAUCAUUUCUCCUCCCCCUCCCUUCCUUUUUCUUUUUCCCCACAAAAAAAAUAAAUUAUGUUUUUUUCACAAACACAGUAUCUCUCAGAUCUUUUGUUAUCUUUUACCACCUCUGCUGACCUACGCGAAGUAAUUCAGCUCCUACACCGGCCUCAGAACCAGGUAGGAAUCGUUAACACCUGCUUACCAAAGAAACUUGGACAAGGUAUUGUUGUUGUUCUGCAACAUUUUUCAAAGAUCAUUUGCAAUAGAAGACCAGAAAAUUUUGCAGCCAACUCAGAGACAAGUCUUGUGUGUAGAUGUAGUUUCUGGCUGUGUGUGUAAUCACACAUUACACUUGGCAGGUAAAACACACCGGUACACAGUGCCUGGCCGUAUCAGUACCUACAUUUUGUCUCACAUUCCGUAUCUUGUAAAAAUGAAUAGAGCACCACUACUUCAUCUGAUGGAUGAGUCAACAGAGCUUGUUCAUGACUAUCAAAGUCAAUGGCAGGACAACUCACACACUGCAGAAAUCUGCUGGGUCCUCUAAUCCAAAGCUUGGGAUAUUUUCCAUACCAAGUAUCUACAUAUACGAGCAAUGUAGGAGAGAGAGAUAGGCAGGCAGGCAGACAGAACAUUUUCCUCAAGGUACCUCAAUCAUCUGCUUUUCCUUUUACCCUGCAAGUCCGGUCCGCUUUCAGUUUGGUUUAAGUUACCAAAAUUUCUCAGCUU